AGUGAACGCUGGCGGUAGGCCUAACACAUGCAAGUCGAACGGCAGCACAGUAAGAGCUUGCUCUUACGGGUGGCGAGUGGCGGACGGGUGAGGAAUACAUCGGAAUCUACUUUUUCGUGGGGGAUAAUGUAGGGAAACUUACGCUAAUACCGCAUACGACCUACGGGUGAAAGCAGGGGACCUUCGGACCUUGCGCGAUUGAAUGAGCCGAUGUCGGAUUAGCUAGUUGGCGGGGUAAAGGCCCACCAAGGCGACGAUCCGUAGCUGGUCUGAGAGGAUGAUCAGCCACACUGGAACUGAGACACGGUCCAGACUCCUACGGGAGGCGGCAGUGGGGAAUAUUGGACAAAGGGCGCAAGCCUGAUCCAGCCAUACCGCGUGGGUGAAGAAGGCCUUCGGGUUGUAAAGCCCUUUUGUUGGGAAAGAAAAGCAGCAGGUUAAUACCCCGCUGUUCUGACGUUACCCAAAGAAUAAGCACCGGCUAACUUCGUG
rnacentral:rRNA from 1 species